ACACUUGACCUGGAAGAGAAAAAUAGUGACAGUCAAAAUGGCGGAUUAUUCGAGUUUUAAGAGGUAUGACAAACCUCUGGAGCAUCGUUCGGUUUUGUUGCCUCUGUCCCGAGUGAAAUUGAUCAUGAAGAGUUCAUCUGAUGUGUCAAACAUAAAUCAAGAUGCGCUAUUCCUAACGGCCAAAGCAACAGAAAUGUUUGUCCAGUAUCUUGCCAAAUAUUCUUACAAAAAUGGAACUGGAAAAGAAAGGAAGGAACUUGUGUACAGUGACCUGUCAAAUACAGUAGCAGAGGCGGACAGAUUUCAGUUUCUUGGUGAUAUAUUGCCCAAAAAGAUUUUGGCACGUGACUACUUUAAGCUUCUUCAACAAGAGGAGGAAGGUGAAGCCAGUGUAACUGGUCAGUAUGAUAAUGCUGAAGAGGAAGAAGAAUCAGGGGGUGAAGAUGAUGAUGAUGAUGAUGAUGAAGAAUAUGAGGAGGAGGAGGAAGAGUAUGAUGGGACUGAAUAAACAUCCAGCAAGCCAUGAGUCACGUAAUGUCACAGUAAUACUGUUAACAAUGCAGUAUCUGUCAUCAUUUACAGGAAUGUAACAUGAGGACCAAGAUCCAGUUUCAGGCCGGUAUGUUUAGUUUACAGUCAGAAUUCCAAGUCCGCUGAUGACUGAAUCUCCUGCUGAACACACAGAGGGAGUCAAUGAAUUGCAUAACUGUAUACUCUGCUGCAGUUAGAGAAACCACUUUGAAACUGAAAUCUAAUUGAUUCUUAUUGCAUCUUUAUAAUGCAUUCCAGUACAGAGAGCAAUUGCACAAGGUUGUAUAGGACCAUUCGGGACCCCACAAGACACUAGUGCCUGCAGAGCAAAAAGCACCAUCUUCACGUCCUCUUUCAUACAAGACCCAAUUCAUGUUGUAACAUAUCUAAGUGCUAUAUUAAUCUAAACUUCCAUUUUAGGGUAAGAAAAAUGUGAUUUUAAUGUUUUGUAAAUAAAAUUUUGUUUAUAUAACUUGUAUUAAAAUUCUUGAUGCAUUUAUUCAGCUUUA